GUAGGCUCGGCCAAUGGUUGGUCAGCAUCACAGUGAUUGCCCGCCCCUUCCUCAUCCUCUGUAUAAAAGAAACCAGAUCUCUGACUGGGGAAAGCUGUUUCUUUCAGGCAUUAGUCCCCUGACUUCUCAGGCUGAUGGCUUUCUGAUUAGUCGUUUUUCCUGCCCCAAGAACUUGCCUCCCGAUGUACUGGUCUUUUGUGUGGUGAGCAGAAGUCCUCAACAACUCUGUCAGAAGUGACCUGACAUUCCUCCUGUGGAGUGGAAUCUCAGACAAAUGUGCCCUCCAGUCUUCAAAGAUGGCUCCCUAAAGCUGAAAACUCCCUCCCCUAUAGAAGCUAAAAUCCACAACAAGCACUCUAAAAAGGCCCCAGUUCACACUUGGAAGUUUGGAAAUUAAAAAAUCACAAACCAAGCCACAACCUACUUAGAUCACCUGAGAAUAGUCUCCUCUUCUUCUCUGGACUUCGUGAUUUCCACCCAGCCCUCCACUUCUACCAUAACCUCAGUGGGCUUUCUGGAUUCCUGACAAGAGAGCCAGCUUCCACACAAAUCCUGGGACUAAUCUUCACCCCCAAUGAGGGACAUAAAAGAAUCGCUGAAAUAUGGCAAUAAUUCACUAGUUCAACCUCAAGGUGUCAAGAUGCAGAGGACCCUAACCACAGUGCUAGUUUAGACAGAAGACAGAUGGCAAAGAUGGAUUUACUAUGAACUCAUGAAUCUCAUACUGCAGGGAACCUCACUUGUAUGAGCUCCUUUCAAGACCCUGGCAGGAGCCCAAGAAAUCUAUGCACAAGGUCACUUGUGUUUGUAAAUUUGCAAAACAGAGAAGGCAAAUUGAGGCACUAUUACUUCAUUUUGGAGAGGAACUACUUGGGACCAGCAGCAAGUCCUUAGACCUUCACUAAACUAUGCCAAGGAAUGAAGUUAAGGGUUAAAUGAACAUUAAAGGAGAAAAAAAAAAAUGCCUGCUAUUUGGGAAGUGUGAACUGGGUGGUACAGUUGAAGAAAAAAACUCAAGAAACAUCACACAGUACAGAAUUUUCUCUCCCCAAAAUGAAGCGUCAUUUCAGGUUUCCACCUACAUAUGUCAAUUUAAUUAUAAAACAGAUUUUUAUAAAUCAGAAGCAAUAAUGGGGUGAUGGGUGAGUGGGUGUGUGUGUGUGUGCAUGCAUGUGUAAUUUUUAAAUAUUCACUGUGCAGAUUUUACACUCCAGAGAAUUAAUCAAACUGUCAGGCCGAAAACCAAAAACUGAAAAGCACACACAGUGGUAUGCCAUGGUAACUUAGCAACCAGAGCUGAAGAGGUUAAGACAGAAAUUGCUGUCAUUUUCUUAUAUUUAAGAAUUUCUACCUGACUGUCUCCCCACUCUCGCCCACCUCCCAAACACACAUUCGGAUUCCUCCAGGUGGUUGUUCACUGAAUCAAAUCUUUUAUAUAUUUUAAUGAUCUUGUGUUUGACAAAUUCUAUUUGUAGAGGACACAAGGAAUCACCUACUGAGUACAGAAUUUCAGAGCAUCUGUGGAUACUUCACUGAUCAAAAGUGCAAGUCUUUUGUGCACAACACAGGUGCUACCAACUGGACUGAUCAUUUCCCAUGAGGCUGUGAAACGCACACACAUCACGUGCAAUCCCUGUCCAUAGGUAAGGUGCUUGAGGGACGUGGCCAGUGCCAUGACAGCUCUGUCUGGCUCUAAGCGGUCAUUCUGCUGCCAGGGGGGCAGUUCUGCAGCGGCCCCUGAACGCGCAGCACUGCAGGGCCUUCAGAGAGCAGGAUCUCUGCUGGCAAGGGAAUUCCGUCUCAAAACACACAAAGGCGCUCUUGAUUGUGAGAUCUGACCAAAGAGCGGAAAUUAAGGAGGGGGGAAAGGCAUUACUCUGGUACUUCAAAUGCAGAUCUAUUUAACACUUUGCAUAAUGCCCUAAUGGCCUUGAAUGAAUGAUGAAAGAGAGUGGACAGCAUAUCUGAUCCCUCCAACCUCAUCAAUGCUGGCCUGUCUACUGAGUACUCUUUAUGCCAGGUUCUCACAUCAAGGAAAAGGACCUUACUUGAGGAUAGCAGUGGCAAAGGUGAAGUACCACCAACUACAUCAUUCUCCUUCUCCAGUGCUGCCCUAGGACAAGUUGCUGAUGAAAUCGUAUGUUUUCUCUAAGACAGAUACGGCUGGUGAUAGACUGAAGACUUUCUAAACCAUCUUGACAGUUGCACGAUUGUGCUGUAUUUUUGGAGAGCCUUCCUAAAAAAAAGUCAGAAUCUAAGGGAUCAGAUGGUGUAUGAAGUGCCCAGAAGAAACAGGAGGAGCCUGCCAUGCAGAUGGUUCCACGCCAUAGGUUCAUCAAAUAUUCCUGAACUUCGAAUAGCUUCCAGCAAGGAGAGAAAACUAAAUGAUUGUGCGAGUGUGUAUGCUGAAGGGUUCUGGGAGAGCUUCAUUCCGAACUCUCAAGAGCUCCUACACUCAUCACACCAUGAGACAACAUAAAAUGACCUGUUCCAGAGACCUUCAUAUUUUGGAACAUCUUUAUCUAUCCGGCUCUGACUAUUCCCUCUGCUCCAACUCUUCCAUAUGAGCACGGGCUCCGGGAAGCACAGGCCUCAGUAGCUGCAGCUCGGACGCUCCAGAGUGUACACUCAGUGACUGGCCAUCAGCUUAGUUGCCCGGAGGCAUGUGGGAUCUUCCCGGACCAGGGAUCGAACCCACGUCCCCUCCAUUGGCAGGCAGCUUCUUAACCACAGGACCCCCAGAGAAACGCCUGUGAGGGUGAGUUUUAAAUACUCCAUGAAAACUACCUAGCCCCAUUCCUUUGCCUCUUGAAAAUAUUCCUCCUUUUUUAUUGUUUUGACACUUCAAUUUCUAUUUUAUUAUAGGCUUUGUUUUGUUUUUUUUUAAUUAUCAGUUUACCAAGGAAAGAUGAUAGACUGUUCUCCCUGGCCUGGAACCAUCUGUGCCCAUGAGUCGUAACCAGAGUCUCUCAAAAUCAUUGUUGAAAAUUUUUCUGAACCUUAGCCCUUGACUUGUCUCCCUGCAGAGAUGCAGGUCCUCUGAUAUGCUAUGAGUCUCAGAGUAACUUUUACCAAUGACAGCUGUCAUAUCUCAGGUAUGUCAGGGCUGUAAAGUAAUAUUAAAAACCACCAGUCUACUGAAGAACAUGUAUUCUGGGUUGAGUGGGGGUUGUUAGAAAACAGAGUCUUAGAUUUUUCCCCUGAGUAUCUCAUCCUCUUUGUGUACACACGCUAUUCCCUCAUCUGGGAAGUCCUUUUCGACUUUUCUGAUUCACCUUUAAGUGCCUGGCUCAGCCGUCUUCAUUCUGGGAUGCCGGCUCCAGGCUACCAAGCAUUUGUACCAGCUUCUGUGUUCUCCUCAAACCUUGAAGUUAACUUCUGAUGCCUUGCACAAAAUCCUUGCAAAGUUUGCCCUUCCUCUUCCUAGACUUCCAGGUCUUGAAAGUUAGGGGUGAUAGAGAUCACAUCUUUACAUCUUGAGUACAAAAAAGCCUGCCUGCCUUACAGUGAGGGAUCAAUAUAGGCCACUGAAUGGAUGAAAACUGAUGCUUCAGGGAGAGGACAGGCUGAGUUGGAAGGAAUUGAGAAAUGGAUUGUAGGGAGAAGUGUGAACAACACAAAGACCGCCUAGGGGCCCUUUAACACAGUGAGGACGAAGACCAAAAAACCAAAGAUGAAUCUUCUCUACUUCACAAAUCUGUCCCUAGCCAGUUAGAAAUGAACAGCAAACAGAAAAAGCAUCACUUUAAGUGUGAAGGUGUCAAGGUUGCUUCUUUAGCUCCCAGUGUCCAGCAGUCCAUUCCUCCUAAUUUGGGGUGAGAGGGUAGAUGGUAAGAUUGCACCCCACCUGUAAGUACUGAUAAUUUUCUUGCUCCAGCCUCAACACGGCGAGCCAAAGGAGAUGGCGCUGGUGAUGGGUUAAAAAUAAUAGAGAUGCUCUGAAAGUAUGAUGAAAGCUUCAGGGUAAAUAUUAUUUUAACAUCAGAGGCUGCAGCAAUAAGACUAAAUCCUAGACCGUAUGAAAAAAUAAUGAGAAAGAUUUGAGAGUGUUGUUGUUUCUAAUAAUAAUAAAAAAGGAAGAAUGUUAUCAUUUAAGUCCAUCAAAACUGAAGCAGCCUGACAGACACCAUAAAAAGCAGAGUUUCAGGAGCAGAUGGAGACUGCCUUCACUUUGCACACGGUGACUGGGGGAAACGUCUCUCGUCCUUUACCUUUAUAUCAGAAAAUUAGCGCGAGAGCAGGGCCCGUCGCUCUGCAGCAAAAGAGAGAGAGAGAGAGAGAGGGAGAGAAGGCCUGAUUCCUUAAAUCUCACCUGACUUUGCAGAUAAUCACUUGCCCAGAUGCCCAAGGUAAGUGGAAAUUGAAAUGGUCCUCACCAAUGGUAAAAACAAGCUGGUUCCUUCUGAAAAACACCUAAAAGAUAUAUGUGAACUCUCUCCCUGUGGCUUGCUACCCUGUUCCUCAUCUGAAUACCCUACUUUCAUUCUUUGAGUGCCAGGGUUCUUCAAAAGCCAGUGAAAAGGAAACACAGAGUUGGCCAAGCCACACAUUAGGAGCAGAUUCUGUUUGGAGAAAGCCGUGGGUAAAAUUACACACACCUGCAUGAGCCCUGAAAUUGGAAAGCAGCCAAAUGAAGGAGACACAGUGCAGAUCGCCUGGAGAAGGGUGCAACCACACGACAGAAGGAUGCUGGGUCCCUGCAGGGCCUCUCCCUGAUGGCAGAUGUGUCCAGUGAACUCUGUUUACAUCCUAAGGCUUCAUCUCAAGACCAAGAGAAAUCUAUUCAGAGCUCCAUAUGCUGUUACUGAUAAGCACCGUCAGGACCAAGAAUAUACAAACAAGCGGAACUGUAUUUCUUCUCAAACAUUUUGUUUCUGUGUAGAUCUAAAGAGUGAGAGUAAAGACAGUAACAAAGCUAGUGAGAAAGCAACUUUUCCUAAGUUAUUGUUUAUGUGUGUGCAUUUGUGUGUUUAUUCAGAGAUACAAGUUAAUAGAUUUUUUUGGUAACCAGAUGCAAAAUGUUAGGCACCUUGUUUGGAAAAAGAAAAGAAUGUGUGGACUCUACCUUACCUGGUCUUGUUCAUGAAAAUGGUCCCAUUUGGACACAUAAGCAGCCAGAGGGUUUCAUAUAGUUAGAACAUGCACUUAACUAAAUACUACCUGAAUUGGUCAGCUGGUCAAUUCUGGUUGAACAAAAGCAAUAGAAAGCAAAAUAGAAUUUGUUUUAAGAAAAGGCAAUCAAUCACCCUUUCAUUUUCCCCUUAAGAGCACUUAAAACAUGAUAUAACUUGGAUUUACUUCUUGUUUACCUAAAGAAACGUUUGCAUCAUUAUCCGGAGGCAGUCCUAUGAAAUAUACAGGAGCCAUGUAUUUUAAAACACCUGUAAAAUGACCCAAUGCAGCUCUGUCAGGCCCAUGGUACAUGAAACGCAAAAUAAAAAUAAAAACAAUUUCCAGCUUUUUCUUUUCCCUAACAAGCAGGAAAACCUAUUUUAAUACCUGAAUAUUCAGCUGUAAUGUGUGUAAUUUUGUAGUCCCGCCAUAAAGAAUAUUUUUCCUCCUUGUACAAAGACAUAACAGAUGCAAUUAGAGGAUAUUAUAUUGUCAUAUGCAU